GGGCGGCGGGCGGAAGGCAUCACUUUGUCCGGACUCUAAUUCAAAUUGUAUUCAUCCGAUCUUCACCAAACUUGGUCAGCAGUUGCAUCUAGUUGAUAUCUAGGCCAAGUUCGAAUAUGGGUCAUGCCGGGUCAAAAACUAGGUCAUAGGGUCAAUAAGUUCAUUUUCAAAGGGGCCACUUUGUCCGGACUCUAUUUCAAAUUGUAUUCAUCCGAUCUUCACCAAACUUGGUCAGCAGUUGCAUCUAGUUGAUAUCUAGGCCAAGUUCGAAUAUGGGUCAUGCCGGGUCAAAAACUAGGUCAUAGGGUCAAUAAGUGCAUUUUCAAAGGGGCCACUUUGUCCGGACUCUAUUUCAAAUUGUAUUCAUCCGAUCUUCACCAAACUUGGUCAGCAGUUGCAUCUAGUUGAUAUCUAGGCCAAGUUCGAAUAUGGGUCAUGCCGGGUCAAAAACUAGGUCAUAGGGUCAAUAAGUGCAUUUUCAAAGGGGCCACUUUGUCCGGACUCUAUUUCAAAUUGUAUUCAUCCGAUCUUCACCAAACUUGGUCAGCAGUUGCAUCUAGUUGAUAUAUAGGCCAAGUUCGAAUAUGGGUCAUGCCGGGUCAAAAACUAGGUCAUAGGGUCAAUUAGUGCAUUUUCAACGGCGCCACUUUGUCCGGACUCUAAUUCAAAUUGUAUUCAUCCGAUCUUCACCAAAUUUGGUCAGAAGUUGUGUCUAGAUGAUAUGUAGGUCAAGUUCAAAUAUGGGUCAUGCCGGGUCAAAAACUAGGUCAC